rnacentral:rRNA from 1 species
AUGGCGGCCGCCGGCUCGGAGGCUGAGCGGAGCGGCGAGAAGCCGCCGGCGAAUGCGCCCGCCUUGGAGGCCGCCAGGACGAUGUCGCCGGAGCGCGGCAUCCAGUCGCCCGUGAACGGAGGCCCAGGGAAGGAGCCGUCGGGGGAGGCCAAGGUCGUCGAAGAGCGGCGGGAGGAUGGGGUCCAAGCGGCCGACGCGGAGCGCAGCGACGAAUCGACCAAGGCGGACGAGGGGGCCUUCGUCGACUCGACCAAGGCGGAGAACAUCAAGAAGCUGCAGUCGGAGGCGCCCACCGACGACCCGGACGCCGAGCCUGCAGAUGUCAAGAGCAACGGCAAGAACGUCGACGCGGCCACGAGCGCCGCCAAGGAGGACGGGAACCCGGUGGAGGAGGACCCCACCAACGUCCCGGAGGCGGAGGACCCGAGCAGUACCAAUCCAGCUGGUACCUCAAGGUCUUGGUCAAGCACGGUAUUCAAGGCUGGGAAAGCCAUCGAGGAAUCUAGUCGCUAUGUUGGUAGCUGGCACGCGCCGCUGCAACACAGCAGCGAUUUCCUGCGACAGGUUGCGCGCUACGCCCCAGCCACAGGACUCCAGCAGGGUUGUCCUGCUGCAUUCAUCUGGCUGUCUUGGGCCUGCGACAAGGUCAGUGCUUUCCUCGCCGAGGUGGCAACAACCGUGCAGGGUGCAUCGGCCCUUGGGCGAAUGGUAGGCCGCUGCACGAGUAUGAUCGGCAACAACCUUAAGGCGGAGCCGGGGGAAGAACCAGAGCCAGGCAAGAAAGAUGGCACCGCUGCCAAGGUGCUAAUCACAUCAUGUGACCAGCUUGAGGAAGUAUUGAGGUUCUGGGAGGCAGGAGCGAGGGUCCAGCUGGAUAUAGGCCCGGACGUGAGCGCCGCGCUGGCCAAUCUCUUGUAUGACAUGCUCAAACAGCGAGGGCCUGCUGCCCUUGAUCUUAUCAAGAAUGGCUCCAACAUGGCGGCAAAGCGCUCAGGGGCAUAG